AACGAACGCUGGCGGCAUGCCUAACACAUGCAAGUCGAGCGAGACCUUCGGGUCUAGUGGCGCACGGGUGCGUAACGCGUGGGAACCUGCCCUUAGGUUCGGAAUAACUCCCCGAAAGGGGUGCUAAUACCGGAUAAUGUCUUCGGACCAAAGAUUUAUCGCCUUUGGAUGGGCCCGCGUUGGAUUAGCUAGUUGGUAGGGUAAAAGCCUACCAAGGCGACGAUCCAUAGCUGGUCUGAGAGGAUGAUCAGCCACACUGGGACUGAGACACGGCCCAGACUCCUACGGGAGGCAGCAGUGGGGAAUAUUGGACAAUGGGCGAAAGCCUGAUCCAGCAAUGCCGCGUGAGUGAUGAAGGCCUUAGGGUUGUAAAGCUCUUUUACCCGGGAUGAUAAUGACAGUACCGGGAGAAUAAGCUCCGGCUAACUCCGU
rnacentral:rRNA from 1 species